rnacentral:rRNA from 1 species
UUAGAUGCGAGAGUAGAGCAUAUCAAUAAGCGGAGGAAAAGAAACUAACUAGGAUUCCCUCAGUAACGGCGAGUGAAGCGGGAAGAGCUCAAAUUUGAAAUCUUCAAGGUUUUACCUUGACGAAUUGUAGUUUAAAGAAGUGUUUUCUGUUGGUGUUUUGGUAAAAGUUCUUUGGAAUAGGACAUCAUAGAGGGUGAGAAUCCCGUAUUUGACCAUUACUUCCAGCGUUGUGAUACACUUUCAAAGAGUCGGAUUGUUUGGGAAUGCAGUCCAAAAUGGGUGGUAAAUUUCAUCUAAAGCUAAAUAUUGGCGAGAGACCGAUAGCGAACAAGUACCGUGAGGGAAAGAUGAAAAGAACUUUGAAAAGAGAGUUAAACAGUACGUGAGAUUGUCAAAAGGGAAGCGUUUGACACCAGUGUUGUUUUCUCGAAAAUCAAUUAAAAAGAGUUGGAUUUUGUAUUGUUAAGACCUUAUCAGCUUACUGUACUUUUUUCUUGCUCUUUUUAAUGCACUUUUCGUUUAACAAGUCAACAUCAAUUUCUUUUGUUGUAAAAGGGUCAUUGGAAGGUGGCUUUCUUUUCGGAGAAAGUGUUUAUAGCCUUUGGCCUCUGCAAUCGGAGAGAUUGAGGUCUGCAGCGUAGAUCCUUCGGGGUUAGAUGCAUUUGUGCUAAGCUAUAGCCUUUCAUAGACAACUUGUUGACUAUGAUCAGUCAUGUAUCUUACUCGCUUAUGUCAUUUUACCUACGCUUAGGAUGUUGACACACGCGCGUGCUCG